rnacentral:tRNA from 1 species
UGGGAAAUAGUUCAAUGGUAGAACGACCGACUCUGACUCGGUUAAUGUUGGUUCGAGUCCAGCUUUCCCAGCCA